AUUGAACGCUGGCGGCAUGCCCUACACAUGCAAGUCGAACGGCAGCACGGAAGCAAUCCUGGUGGCGAGUGGCGAACGGGUGAGUAAAGUAUCGGAACGUGCCCAGUCGUGGGGGAUAACGUAGCGAAAGUUACGCUAAUACCGCAUACGUUCUAUGGAUGAAAGCGGGGGAUCGCAAGACCUCGCGCGAUUGGAGCGGCCGAUAUCAGAUUAGGUAGUUGGUGGGGUAAAGGCUCACCAAGCCGACGAUCUGUAGCUGGUCUGAGAGGACGACCAGCCACACUGGGACUGAGACACGGCCCAGACUCCUACGGGAGGCAGCAGUGGGGAAUUUUGGACAAUGGGCGAAAGCCUGAUCCAGCCAUGCCGCGUGCAGGAUGAAGGCCUUCGGGUUGUAAACUGCUUUUGUACGGAACGAAAAGGUUUGGGCUAAUAAGCUGAGCUCAUGACGGUACCGUAAGAAUAAGCACCGGCUAACUACGUGCCAGCAGCCGCAGUAA
rnacentral:rRNA from 1 species